CGGCUGUCUCUGUGUAUAACUGGCUGUCUCUCAGUAUAGCUUGCUGUCUCUCUGUAUGACUAGCUGACUCUCUGUAUAGCUGGCAGUCACUCUGUAUGGCCGGCUGUCUCUGUGUAUAACUGGCUGUCUCCCAGUAUUGCUGGCAAUCACUCUGAAUGGCCGGCUGUCUCUGUGUAUAACUGUCUGUCUCUCUGUAUGGCUGGCUGUCUCUCUGUGUGGCUGGCUGUCUCUCUGUGUGGCUGGCUGUCUCUUUGUGUGGCUGGCUGUCUCUUUGUGUGGCUGGCUGUCUCUCAGUAUAACUGGCUGUCUCUCAGUAUAGCUUGCUGUCUCUGUGUACUGUAUAGGUAGCUAUCUCUCUGUAUAGCUGGAAGUCUCACAGUAUAGUUGGCAGUCACUCUGUAUGGCCGGCUGUCUCUGUGUAUAACUGGCUGUCUAUCAGUAUGACUAACUAUAUCUCUGUAUGGCUGGCAGUCUCUCUGUAUGGCCGGCUGUCUCUCUGUAUGGCCGGCAGUCUCUCUGUAUGGCCGGCAGUCUCUCUGUAUGGCCGGCAGUCUCUCUGUAUGGCCGGCAGUCUCUCUGUGAGGCCGGCAGUCUCUCUGUGAGGCCGGCAGUCUCUCUGUGAGGCUGGCAGUCUCUCUGUAUGGCCGGCAGUCUCUCUGUGAGGCUGGCAGUCUC